rnacentral:rRNA from 1 species
AUGUACUCCUGCAGCGAGCGAGACCGCUCGGCCGCGGCGGCGCGUAUCAUGGAGUCCAGCGCCAAGUACCAGCCAUGCAACACGGCGGCGACGCGGACGGCCGCCGGCCAGGUCCCCUCGGACGCGCAGCGGCAGCAGCAGCAGCCGUCGCCGCGGCGCGCCAGGAGGAAGCACCCGGCGUCGGCGUCGCGCCGGUCGUCCACCACCGUUGUGGCGACCGACGUGUCCAACUUCCGCGCCAUGGUGCAGGAGCUCACCGGCUUCCCGCCGGCCGCCAUCUUCCGGCCGCUGCCGCGCCGGGCCCACGCGGCAACCACCGCCGGCAGCGUCCGGGGCGUGGUGCAGCCGCUGGCGCACCCGCCGAAGUGCGCCCCGCCCGGCGUGUUUGACGGGCUGCCCGACCUCGGGUCGCCGGAGUUCGACACGUCGCCCGACUUGAUCUUCGAAUGA